UUUCUUCUCUGGAGAUCCCUGCUUACCUGAGGACUUUCCAGGCCUUUUGAAGGUAGCAGCAGAGGGGCAGUUGGACAGAAUGGCAUUUGACAAGGAAGUGCAUGUGAAACAAAGGUGUGUCAUUGAAUUGCUCCAUGUGGAAAACAGAUGUCCACAUUAACAUUCACUGAUGCUUGUUGGAUGUUUAUGGAGACCAAAGAGUGGAUGGGAGCACAGUAAAAUGUUGAGAUGUACAUUUCAGCAGUGGUGAUAAUGACAGUGGGUUGACUCUGUUGGUGAAGAAUUUUACAACCCUGGCAUGCAGCCUCUUGUUCUUUGCUUAUGAGAAUGUAUAGCUGAUGGUGGUAACUGUGUUGAAAAAUAGUUGUUUUGUAGUUGAGAACUUGCUCUAUCAAACAGUGUUUUUGUGCUCUUUUUGUCUGCUGUGGUUUCCAUGGAAAUAAAUAGGAGGUAUUGCUUUUAGAGCAAGCUAUGUAGUAUGUUAUUCUUCUGAUGAAGAAGUGUCCAUAGACUGAGUCAAACCAAAUCUCUUCUGAGCUGAAAACAUUCUAUGUUCUGUAAAUUUCCAACUCACCGUAGAAUCUUAAUGUGGAGCAAUAUGCCAUAGAGCAGAUGUAUGGCAUGACUGCACAAUCAGACAACUGAUUUGAAGCUUUAAAGACUUUAGAAUAGCACUUACCAUUAAAAAGCAUAUUUGCUGUUAUUGCUUUCCAGACCAACAUAUGGAGAUUUACAUUUGUCAGCAUCAAAGUAACUUGGUUAAAUGUCAUUGCAAAGGUCUUAGUCCCUUUCAGUGCUGAAAACUCUUAUUUCAAUCAUGAAUCAUUUUUUUUCCCCGAGUCAGUGGUAAGGUUACCUCUGUGGUGAGUAAGUAAAUAUUGCUGAUAGGAGUACAAGUACAAAAGAACUGCAUAACACAAAUUUUGUUCCUCUUAUUUCUAUGAUCUCCUGAUUAGAGGAAAUUCAGACACAUAUUUCACCCACUUUGAAUAAUUUCAAAGACAAAGGAACAGCUUGAACUGAGCUUUUUCUCUCAUACCUUGUGCUUUUUUCAAGAAACUGUUUUCUUCUUUUUUUGAAGUAAAGUAGUAAAAUUAGGUAAUUCUAAUGUAUACAUAGAAAACAGAAACUCUUAACUGAGAAAACAACAUUAAGGUUCAGCUAUAAUUUCGUAAAACCUUAAAGGGUUUCAGGAUAUUUCCAAUGCUGCUAAGUCAUGUUUGUCCAGCAGAAAAGUGAAAAGUAAUCCACAAUACACUUUGCCUGUUUUCAGCAGUUUUCCUGAAUGCAUUCCACAUGUAACUCUUAGACCAAACACUGACAUAGAUUUUUAAGACUUCAGUUUAUAAAGUACAAGUGGGGAAAGCAAUGCCCAUUAAUUCUGAAUGCUCUGAAAGAAGGGAACAAUUUAACACAAGGACGGAUGUAAACCCUUGCUUCCAACUUCUGAUUUUUGAAUUCUACUUAGUGUCAUCAAUUCCAUGUGACAUUGUGCAUUGUUGUCCAGGUACUUAAGAGAUCAUAAGGCAAGACUGGGAUCCUUUUAAAAUAACGCGGAAAUAAGUUGUAUAUAUUAAUGUAUUUCCAUUGCUUUUAUGACAAUUGUAAUCUGACACAAUUACUCCUACUGUCAUUUCCAUUGGCCUAGUAAGUAGCUCUUCAGGGAAACACCUGAGGAAGUUUCUUAUUUUCUGUUCUGGGUACAAACCCAGGCUAUGAAAGCUAAUAACCCUCAUGGAGAGAAAAAUUGAGAUAACCUCUGUGUAACCAAAGAUCGGAGUCUCUAAAAUAAUUCCAUCUGGAGACAGAGGGUUGCAUCUUACUGAGAUCUUAAACGCUGCUAGCUGUGGAAAAACUGUAGGAAAAGAGCAUGUUUUGGUAUAGCUGGAAGAAUAAAAUAUGAACAUUUGUGCUGAAUUCCUGAUUUACCCAAGUUGGCCAAUGGGUUGAUCUGUGAACAAGUUGAAAGAUGAAAAGCCAGUCAAGUUGCACCAAUUCUUUCAUAACACUGCUUACCCAGACUGUUCUGUUAAUUUAGUGCACAGUUACAAUCAACCCUGAUUCAGCCUGCUUAUUCUCCAUGAAGAUAUGAGGAACAGGCUACUCAAGAAUGCCUGUAUAAUCUUGAAGAGGUCUUUGGCUGUGGAAGUGAUAUAAAAUCAGGUGGAAAAAGAUUUAUACAAAUGUUUCUGUUAUAUUCUUAUUUUCAUAUAAAAUAUGGAGAUAUGAAGAUGUAUGUAUGAUUUUUCCCUGUUGCUCCCUUCAGUCCUAAUAGUGUUAGCAUGCCAUAAACUUCAGCUGUUAUGUAUGCACCAAAUCUGUGGUACUGAACACAGUAAAACGUAAAAGUUUCCCUCUUGAUGCGCUUGCUGAUGAUCACAGUAUAAACAUGGGAUAUGACUUAGAAUGUCCUCCUUUAGCUGAAUGCAAAUGACACAAUAAGAUUCUGUGAUACUUAAGAUAAGAAACAUAACAUUGUAGUGAAAAAUGGCAUUUUAAAUUUCAUCAACAAUGUCAUAGUAGAGUGUAUCAUUAUUACUGUCAAUGCAAGAUCAAGUAACCAAAUAAUACGGUUCAUAUAUUCUAAUCAUAAUAAAUACAUUUUUCUAGAAUGACAAUAU
ensembl:lncRNA